GUCCUUUAAUGUGAGGUAACUUAGAGAUUAGUGCCACAAAUAAUAUACUAGAUUGCCUACUUACAACCAGAUGAGGAUGAUGGGCUCUGGUGUAGAACAGGCUCCCUGACGGCUGUUUGUAACUGUGGUCACAAAAGUCAAUGUUCUGGGGGAACGUGAAGCCUCUCUAUUUUUUAAGGGGGGCCCCCUUACACAGCUUGUGGUCUGGGCCCCAGGGCCUGGCUAUGAGUAUGCCCAUAAGUCCACCUACUUGUUCCACCCAUGAGUUUGCUCACAGGGAGUGGAGUGUGUAGGGGAUGUGUUAUUGUAGAGGAUCUAAAGUGUGUGCUUAUGGAAUGUAGUGUAUAGGGAUACCAGUUUGUGUGUAAGUGAUACAUUCACACAAUGCAUCUGUAUGUGUAAGGAAUGCAAGGUGUUUCUGUGUAAGUAAAGGAUGCAGUGUGUGUGUCUGUAAGGUGUGUAUUGCUGCAUUGUGUUUCUCUGUGUGUAACAGAGCAGUGUGUUUUUGUGUAUGUGCAAGGGAUGCAUUUUUUGUAUGUGUGUAAUGGAUGCAUUGUGUGUUUGUAUGUAUAGGGAAGGGUGUUCUGAAGAAGCCGCCCAGCCAAAACACGUCAUCAUGCUUUCAGACGCACGACAUCAGGACGCACUAAAGGUAGCUUGCAUCUCCUGGAAGAAAUAUACAGCGUUCCAGUUCCCAAAAGACCGCAAGUGCUAGCCAGCGUGUCAGGAGGGUCUGAGGACUGGUCUUACAGGGGAAGAGCUUGUGAUUUUUUUUUUUUUUUUUUAAGUUUUUUGCUGUUACCAAUAAAGGUUUGAAUUGUAUCCAGUUGCUUGUUCCAUCAUGGUCCUGCACCUUGAGAUAUCCGGGCUGUCAAAGUUAGAGCAGACCUUUACUGCUUCACGCUUGUGAGUUGAUUG